rnacentral:rRNA from 1 species
GACUAACGCUGGCGGCGUGCCUAAUACAUGCAAGUCGAACGGGAUUCUUUGAUCAGCUUGCUGAGAGAAGGAUCUAGUGGCGGACGGGUGAGUAACGCGUGGGAAUCUGCCUCUUACUGGGGGAUAACAGUGGGAAACUACUGCUAAUACCGCAUAAGAUCUUCGGAUGAAAGGUGCAACUGCACCGGUAAGAGAUGAGCCCGCGUCCCAUUAGCUAGUUGGUGAGGUAAAGGCUCACCAAGGCGACGAUGGGUAGCCGGCCUGAGAGGGUGAACGGCCACACUGGGACUGAGACACGGCCCAGACUCCUACGGGAGGCAGCAGUAGGGAAUCUUCCGCAAUGGGCGCAAGCCUGACGGAGCGACGCCGCGUGAGGAGAAGCUAGGUCGUAACGUCGUAGUCCUGGGUAGUAGUAGGUAGAGUAACCGAACGAGGAAGCCGUAAGCCUACGUACGUAGUCGACGCGACGUCCGACGGGUAAGUAAAGGUAACCUCCGGUACUUACUACGUAGGCC